UGGGGAAUAUUGCACAAUGGGCGCAAGCCUGAUGCAGCCAUGCCGCGUGUAUGAAGAAGGCCUUCGGGUUGUAAAGUACUUUCAGUCGGGAGGAAGGUGUCAAGGUUAAUAACCUUGGCAAUUGACGUUACCGACAGAAGAAGCACCGGCUAACUCCGUGCCAGCAGCCGCGGUAAUACGUAGGUGGCAAGCGUUGUCCGGAUUUAUUGGGCGUAAAGCGAGCGCAGGCGGUUUCUUAAGUCUGAUGUGAAAGCCCCCGGCUCAACCGGGGAGGGUCAUUGGAAACUGGGAGACUUGAGUGCAGAAGAGGAGAGUGGAAUUCCAUGUGUAGCGGUGAAAUGCGUAGAUAUAUGGAGGAACACCAGUGGCGAAGGCGGCUCUCUGGUCUGUAACUGACGCUGAGGCUCGAAAGCGUGGGGAGCAAACAGG
rnacentral:rRNA from 1 species